UAAAAAUCUGAAGUCAGUUUUGAAGUGGAAACAGUCCCAUGUGUCAUUUCAGAAACACUUGAAAAAUGUUUGUUUCACUUCACUUACGAACUAACGCCGAUAAGAUCAUGUAGUUGGACGACUGGUUAGAGACAUUUCCAUGAACUCAAUCAAGAAAGUGAAACUUUACAGAGGUCGAAUUAUUUGUCAGGACACCAAUGUGAAGCAGACUUCAAAAUCCCCCAAGAAUUAAAUUAAUGUUAGUGUUUAUUAGCAAAUGUCAAACACAAGGCAACAAAUAUUCCUUGUAUACUGUGAUUUCUAAGGGAAUAGUACUGGUUUUCUUGUAUUGCAUUACUGCCCUGUUGUGAAGUUCUUAAAUCAACCCAAUUCAUCCAUCCGUAAUCAUUUUCCAGAAUGGCGCCUAUCCCAACUGUCCAUGGCCAAGAGAAGGACAAAGGGUCACCCGAACAGACUGCCAGUCAAUCGUAGGGCCGACACAAUACAAAAUAAGGCAAAUUAAACAUUUUCAAACUGAAUUGAAAAAUAAGGCUUUUAAACCAAUAAAAACUAAUGAAAAAUAAAUUAUUUUACUUUAAGGUUUAACUUCAAUAUGGAUGCAUCCAUGUUCACCUUUUAGAGGUUAGUUGGAUGGACUUGGAUUCAAGCCCUGGAGGUCAGACUGAAGUUCAUUUAGGAAAUGUUAUGGGUGAAUUUACAUUGACGUUUUUCCAAUUUAGAAAUGGUAAAGUUUUAAACUUUCCAGGAAUUUUUGGAAGGUUUCUCUUUCAUUGAGAAAGGGGGAAAGAUACAUGACAAGUUUAGAUAACAGAAAUAUAAGACAUCAUCUAGAAAACAAAUCUCAGUCUCAAACAUAUGGAGAAGGUCUGGAGAGAAGUACAACAGUAAGAGUCUACAGUCGUCUGUAAAACUCGGUGGAGGCUCUGUCAUGGUUUUGGGCUGAAGACUAAUCCCUGAAGACGACUUAAAGAAAUGACAAAAGACUUACAUUCUACAUUCUUACGUUCUACAUUUUCCACAGGGUGUCUGUUUUCUUUAAUAUCUUCAUAUUUUCUUGGACAUCAAAAUCAAUCAACCCAUAGGCUCAUAGAUUGUGAAACUCAUUUCAGUCACAU
rnacentral:lncRNA from 1 species